rnacentral:rRNA from 1 species
AUGUGCAAGGUUCAAGCAAUGGAUGAGGCCGAGGAGGUCCUUCAACAGAUGUUUGAUACAGGUAUUCUGCCAAAUAUUACUACAUAUAAUAGUCUGAUACACGGAUAUUAUUCAUCAGGACAGUGCGAACAGGUGGCUCAUAUUUUCAAGAAAAUGUCUAGGAAUGGUGUUCAGCCAGAUAUUGCAACUUACACCAUACAGAUGGAUUAUCUUUGCAAGAGUAGAAGAUUUGCGGGAGCUAGAACUAUUUUUGAUUCUAUGGCCGGUAAGGACCAAAAACCGAAUGUUACUAGCUACAGUAUUCUGCUUCAUGCAUAUGCUAUGGAACAGUCAGUCCAUGAUAUGCAUUGUCUCAUUGAAUUGAUGGUAGAAAAUGGUAUUGCACCAAAUCAUUCUGUGUACAACAUACUGAUAGUUGCAUAUGCUAAGGGGAAAAUGUUUGAUGAGGUAAUGCAUAUAUUUACAAAAAUGCGGCAGCAAGGAUUGAACCCAAAUGCUGCGAGCUAUGGAACAGUAAUAAACUUACUUUGCAGUAUUGGCCGAAUGGAUGAUGCUAUGUUGCAAUUCAAUCAAAUGAUAACUGAAGAAUUAGCUCCUGAUAUCAUAGUUUUCAACACUCUUAUAAGUGGUUUUUGUUCUUGUGGAAAAUGGGAGAAGGUUCAUGAACUACUUGCUGAAAUGUUGAAUCGUGGCAUCUAUCCCGACAACGUGUUCUUCAACACAAUUAUGGAUCACCUUUGCAAAAAUGGAAGGGUUAUGGAAUCCCAAGAUCUCGCUGACCUGAUGAUACACAUGGGUUUGAAGCCUGACAUGCAUACUUAUAACACACUGAUGGGUGGAUACUUUUUCAUUGGUAAGAUGGAUGAAGUGAGGAAGUUACUUGACCAUAUGGUCUCAAUUGGCAUGGAACCAGAUGUUGUCACCUAUAACACACUGAUUGAUGGUUACUUUAAGAAUGGAAUGAUAGAUGAUGCGUUAGCUAUUUUCAGUGAAAUGCUGGACAAAAAAGUUAAGCCUUGUGUUAUCACUUAUAACACAGUGUUGCAUGGGUUAUUUCAUACUGGAAGGACUGUUGCUGCAAAUGAACUCUAUCUCAGGAUGAUUGACAGCGGAAUAUGUGUGGAUAUUGUGACCUACAACAUAAUUCUCAGUGGUUUGUGUAGAAAUAACUGUGUGGAUGAAGCACUAAGAAUGUUUCAAAACCUGUGUUCAACAAAUUAUCAACUUGAGAUCAGGACUUAUAAUAUUAUGAUUAGUGCGUUGCUUAAAGUUGGCAGGAAGGAAGAAGCCACAGGUUUGUUGGAUGGAAUCUCGGCCAAAGGAUUUGUGCUCGAUGCUGUUACGUAUAGAUUAAUGAUACAAAGCUUUUAG